CCUACACCUGGGUAGCCAUCAACUCCAGGAAUCUUGAGCUAAUGAAAUGCCAACCCUUUGGCAAAUGGUUAAGCUGGGUUAGGUGCCCUCUGCCCCAAUCAUUCCCUGGCUGCCCAUUUCUUGCAUCCAGCUUUGCAUCCUCUGCUCACAUCUGAGCUCAGCCACUUCUGGGGCCUUGAGCAGGUGUAAGCAGAUUGUCCUGUCCACCUCACCUUCCACCGCUGGGGUCGCCUGACAUCGAGUCGAGGGUGUCUGCAGAAGGGUGCUGGCUACCAGCACAUGCACCAACCAGGGAAGUGAAACCCCAUUGGCAUCUCAAUUUCUUCCUCUUUUGUUUGUAUCAAGUUGAUUAUUUUUCACGGAAACCUUCAUUGUAACUGCUGUCCCUGGGAAUUGUCAACAGACAUGAAUUUAUUACCUCUCAGCUCCAAAUCUGCCCUUUCAUGGGGAAGAUUUAAACGUUUCUCGGCUGCAGUGAACAUGAGAUUAAGCUUUGUCAGUAGCGGACGCUAGAGGGACACUGUCAGAGAAGAGAUGCUCUUCCUGGUCCUGGUGUACUGUUUGUGCUUCUUCUUCUGGUGAACAGGUGCCAGCUCCGCAGCAUGGAAUCCCAACUGAAUGCACUAGCACACAGUUUCUCAGCAAGCUCUGCCCCAGUGACCAGCGUAGUGACCACCUUGGUGACCAUCCAUUUCUCUGAUGUGGACACUGUGCACCAUGGACUUGCACUGCCCUGACAGAGUGAGCUGCCUGUGCCCUGACUACUUGGUCCUCCAGCCUCCUGUACUUUGAUGGAUUAUUUCCUACUCACCUGGGCACUGUGGAUGGCAGUAGUCCAGCAACCCAUGGAACUUCUUCCAUCAGCAGGCUACAACCACAGCUGUUCUAAUGGAACUGGAAUUCCAGUACUGGGGAGGAGUUCUGAUUUCAAGUUCAUCCUUCCUUAAGUAUUCAUCUUUGGCCCUAGAGAUUUAUUUACUAUCCUUUUUAAAGCUUUGUAGUUAUUGUUAUAUAUAAUAUGUGUAUACAUUAAUGUUUCCCUGUUCAAGUUAUUGUACAGCUUCUUUCUCCUCAUUGAAUCCUGACUAAUUCAGUUAGGAUAAGCUACACCAACUGUUAUGAUUUGUGUUUGGAUGUCUCCCCCACAGCCUCAUGCGGAUGAGGUGGGACUUUCUUUUUCAGAGGAAGUUUAAUCUGAAAUGUGUGAUGCUGGGGUUAAGGGUGUGUGAUUACUAAACCACUACAUGUGAGCGAUUAAUUUGGCAUGGACCUAAUCUCGGUAGUCUGAAUAAGUUAAAAGGAGCAGAAUGAUGCUGUUAACCCUCUUGUUACUUUUGCUGCCUUGUGUGUGACAUGUUCUUUCUCCUCUGCCAUUCCUGUUUGUCAUCCCAGCCUUGGAACCAGCCCAUUAUGGACUGAAACGUCUAUGAACUGUAAGCCAAAUAAAUCCCUUCCCCUUUAACUUUUGGUGCCAGGUAUUUUGUCUCAGCAACGAGAGAAAAGUAACUAACACACCAACAGUUCUCAAAUAUGUAUUUGCAGGCCCCAUUAUAGUCUAAAAAUUAUUAAAAGCCUCAAAUAGCUUCUGUUUGUGUGGAUUUAUGUCUAUUGAUAUUUACUAUAUAGUCAAAAGUAAGACAAAUUUUAAACACUUAAAAAAUUAACUCCUUAAAAAUGGUAAAUUUGCUGGUGAUUUAGCUCAGUGGUUCGCCUGCCUGCCUCACAAGGGCAAGAUCCUGAGUUUGAUCCCUGGUACCAAAAAAAAAAAAAAAAGGUAAAUUCAUUACAUGUUAAAUAAUAUUGAAAAAUGUCUACAUUUUUCAACACAAAAAGUGUUAGUGAUAAGAAUAGUACUGCUUUACAUUUUUGUAAAUUUUUUUAUGAUGGCUUAAUAGAAGGGAUAUUUUCAUAUCUGAUUCUGAAAUCUGUAAUAUUUUUAGCCGAAAUUUGUGAAGAAAAUCACAGACAUACAGUUGUAAAGGGAAGAGGAGGAUUAUUUAUUUAUCUAGAGAUGGGGUCCCACUAUGUAUUUCAGGGUGGCCUUGAAGUAUCUAUGUAGCUCAGGCUGCCUUCUAACUUGUAGCGAUCCUCCUGCCUUAGCCUCCCGAGUGCUGGGAUUACAGGUGUUCGCCACCUCACUCGGCUGAGGGAGCAAGAGUAUAAAGUCUUUUUAGGUAUUGUGGAUAUGCUUCUUUGAUGAUACACCCAGAUUCAACCAGUGGUAAUUUCUUCAAGUUGGUUGCAAUAUUGACAUGGUUUAGAUAUGGCUUGACAUUCAAGGAUUUCUGUGUUGGGAGUUUAGUUUCCAUUGUGAUGAUUUUGAAGAUUAAAUCUUCAAGGAGGUGGGGGCCUAGUGAAAGGGCCUUAGGUAUUUGGAGGUGCUGUACUGGAAAGGGAAUGCCAAUUGAGAGAGAGAGAGAGAGAGAGAGAGAGCGAGCGAGUGAGAGAGAAUGAAAAUCUGAGUUUGAACCCUGAAUCUCUCUCUGGCUUCCUGACCUCUCCCUUUUGCAAGGAGUUGCUGCCAUCUACCAUGGGGCCUUCACCAGAGCUGAGUGGGGCUGAUGCAGGUGCCAUGGCCUUGUACCCUUAGAACUGUGAGCUGAGUAAAAGCUUCUUUUCUUUAUAGCCUUGACCUAUCUCUGGUAUUUCAUUGUAGUAACAGAAAAUGGCCUACUACAAAUGAAAAAUUUGAAAUUAAAAGCCAAGUUUGUAUCUUGUACUUUGAGUGUGUCUUUUGUAUAUGUGUGACUUUGUGAUGUCAUACAUUGGUCAUUUGGAAAACGUUGGCUCAUUGAGUUAUGCAGAUCUUUCAAAUGUUGACAUAUUUCCUUAUACAAUAUCAAAAGUCCACAUUCAUUCAUAUCACCCUUGGCCUCAUUAGAAAGUAAUUUGUGUGUUAGAGCUUUCAAGUUCACAGUGGCAGAUACAGAUUUUCCAAAAUCCUAAUAUUCAUUUGAAAACCUGAAGUUUAUCAC
ensembl:lncRNA